GUCACGCCCCGGGACCCGGCAUAGGCCUGCCCGGUGCGCGCCCAGACCCGCCAUAUGUCUACACAUAUAAGGCGUCUACACAAAAGCGGAAGAGUAAAGCAAGAGAAAAUCUACAACUAGAGAUAUCAGAGCAAGUAUAUAGCUAGGUUCUAUCAACAAGCGGAAAUAAAAAGGAAAGAAAAAGAGACUAAACCACUAGAACAUAAAGAAACUAAUACAUCAUAAGUCUCCAGAUACAAACGUAGGGUGGUCUCUAUAAUAAGGUACAAAACUCUCACAACCUCUCCAACAGAAAACAAAAGAGAGGUGGACCACCUAUCGCCAAAUCCCUCG
rnacentral:lncRNA from 1 species